AACAAUGUCCGUGCUGAUUGUCUU
rnacentral:siRNA from 1 species